UACAGAGGGUGCAAGCGUUGUUCGGAAUUAUUGGGCGUAAAGGGCGCGUAGGCGGUGCGGUAAGUCUGUAGUGAAAUCUCUGGGCUCAACUCAGAGUCUGCUGCAGAAACUGCCGUGCUUGAGUGUGGGAGAGGUGAGUGGAAUUCUCGGUGUAGCGGUGAAAUGCGUAGAUAUCAGGAGGAACACCGGUGGCGAAGGCGGCGAUCUGGCCCAACACUGACACUGAGACCCAAAAGCGUGGGGAUCAAACAGG
rnacentral:rRNA from 1 species